rnacentral:rRNA from 1 species
AUGUUUCGGUGCUCAGUGUUCUUCGUGGGAACUCAUCCAGUGUGUAUUCUUUCUGUGUUAACUUUGUCAAGUGGAAACAGACCUGAGAAUAAAUUCUUGUUUGUGGGGUGUGAUGUUAGCCUUCUUCAGCCAAAAUAUUGUGUCCAUGCCUGCUCCUUUUCCGCACCCAGUCAGCGAAGAUUAAUCUCACACGCAUCAGUGGAUACAAAUACAUAUUUUUUCGAUCACAAGGAUUAUGAUCAAACAAACAGAAAAAAGGUCAGAGAGAUACAUUCUGUGACCUCCCUCUCUAUACAAACUGCUUCACUACGAUGGCCAGAUUUUUCCUUUCCAUAA